ACUGUUGGUGAAAGCUUGGACUAAUGACGGCCCAAAUAAUUGGAUUGCCUCAUCGGCUCGCUCUACCUCUACCCUCCCUCCCGCCGCCGCCCGCCGUCACGCCGUCGCCGAUGGCUUCCUCCUCGCCGGCGUCUCCUACCGGCGCCGCUGCCGCCCUCCCCUCCCCGCCCCUUCCGGGGUCAGCCUCCGGUUUGGACCAGUUGGAUGCCAUGGACAGGACAGCAAAUUUGCCUUGGCACAAAAGCUGCCUUGUCUAGCGUAUGUAUGAGGGUGCUGGCUGAGGGAUGCAAAUGCAAUCGAUGGACCACUCAGAGAUCUGAACUUCUGGAUUGAAGCAGAUAAGGCAUUGGCCUCUUCUCCUUGGUUAGUUCAGUAUUUGGCUGAACUGAAUUGAAUGGCAUGCAGCCAUGCAUGAUUCAAUUGAAUGCAAGCUAGGACUACUGGUUGUGCAUGCAUGGAUCAAGCUUCUCUGUUAGUAACUGAAUUGAAGGGGAACUGGAAUGAAUGAAUGAAUAAAUACUGAUCGAUCGAUUGCCUGCUGCUUCUGCUGCUGGAUUGCACUCUUCCUUUCUGAUAGGUUGAUAGAUCCGCUUCUUUCGGGCAUACAUGCAGAGCUUGAUUAAUGUUGCUGCAGGCUCUCUGAUUUCACUCACUGCAUGUGCAAAGUGUAAAUUAUGAAUUUACUAGCACUAGUACUAUAUGUUACUGUCUGCUGCAAGUUAGUUUAUCUCGCAGCAAUUGUUUCUCUCUGAAGAUUAUCGGCGUGAUUACUGGGAGUAUGUGCAUGCAUAUGCAUGCGGUAUAAUAUACUGUACUGUACUUACUGAUAGGCACAUGACUUGUACUUAUACUACUUAAUCACUUACACGUAUGCAAGUACGAGCUAAAGCUAAGCGCGAGCCCCACG